CAGUAGCCGCGGUAAUACGAAGGGGGCUAGCGUUGUUCGGAAUUACUGGGCGUAAAGCGCGCGUAGGCGGACAUUUAAGUCAGGGGUGAAAUCCCGGGGCUCAACCCCGGAACUGCCUCUGAUACUGGGUGUCUAGAGUUCGGAAGAGGUAAGUGGAAUUGCGAGUGUAGAGGUGAAAUUCGUAGAUAUUCGCAGGAACACCAGUGGCGAAGGCGACUUACUGGUCCGAUACUGACGCUGAGGUGCGAAAGCGUGGGGAGCAAACAGGAUUAGAUACCCCCGUAGUCCCUGUCUCUUAUAA
rnacentral:rRNA from 1 species